rnacentral:rRNA from 1 species
UACGAGGGGGGCUAGUGUUGUUCGGAAUUACUGGGCGUAAAGGGAGCGUAGGCGGGCGUUUAAGUUAGGUGUUUAAUCCCGGGGCCCAACCCCGGACCGGCACCUAAAACUGGACGUCUUGAAUAGUGGAGAGGUCGGUGGAAUUGGAGGUGUAGCGGUGGAAUGCGUAGAGAUCGGGAAGAACACCAGUGGCGAAGGCGGUCUGCUGGGCCGUUGCUGACGCUGAGGCGCGACAGCGUGGGGAGCAAACAGG